rnacentral:tRNA from 1 species
GCCGCGGGAGCUGGUGUGGUCAUAGCGCCCGUUUGAAGAGCGGGAGAACUUCGUUCGAAUCGAAGCCGCGGCG